rnacentral:rRNA from 1 species
UGGGUAAUCUUUGAACGUGAAUCGUGAUGGGGAUAGAUGAUUGCAAUUAUUCAUCUUCAACGAGGAAUUCCUAGUAAACGCAAGUCAUCAGCUUGCAUUGAUUACGUCCCUGCCCUUUGUACACACCGCCCGUCGCACCUACCGAUUGAAUGGUCCGGUGAAAUCUUCGGAUCUGAGAGAUGUCUGAUUAAUUUCGGACGCCUUUUGGAAAAGUUGAUUAAACCUUACCAUUUAGAGGAAGGUGAAGUCGUAACAAGGUUUCCGUAGGUGAACCUGCGGAAGGAUCAUUA